UUAAAAUAAAUUGGUUGUCAAUGGCUAUUAUACCAACUUAGCUUUUACAGAAUGGGGAAUGUGAACAUUAAGGGCGGUAUUUAACUGAGACAAUAUGGUCAUGCCCACUGGCUGGAGAGCUAUCAGGAACCCAGUGUCACCUCCUUUGGAGAUAGCCAACCAGAAUUAAGUGCUGAACAGGCAUUUAAGUCGUUAGCGGUAGGCCUUCUAUGGAAUCAAAGAUCCAGGGGGCAGAAAUACCGCCUCCGAGAGCUGCAGGCCAAUCAGAAGCCAACAACUGUCCAUUGCAGGCAGCGCCAGUGGGAAGAGUAGUAGCUGCUGGCACUAUUCUCAGGGAGAGGCCUAGGAUCACCAAAGGACUCAGGCCACAGAAUGGUCUACAGAUCUUCCCUGUCUUAGUACCAACUCGAUCACCCUGAAAGAAGCGUGCAACCCGGGUCCUUUAGCCCCAGCAAACCAGGGCACUGGAUCCAACAAUGACCCAUCAAAAGAAUUCAUAUUAACCUGUGAUGUGUCACCUUAUGAUGUGGGAGCGAUGUUGUCACUCAGGAUGGAAGAUGAUUCCGAAAGACCAAUCGGCUAUGUAUCCAGAACCCCCUCUGCUGCCAAGAAGGGUUAUUCACAGCUAGAAAAGGAAGGUUUAUCAGUUAUAUUUGGAAUGAAGAAAUUCCAUCGGUAUCUGCAUGGAUGAUAUUUCACCAGAGUGUUGGACCAUAAACCACUAAUGGAUUUAUUCAGUGAGGAUAAAGCCAUUCUGCCAAUAGCCUCAGCAAGAAUUCAAUGUUGGUCUUUGAUAUUAUCUGCCUAUGUAUAUACCUUUAUGCACUGUCCUGGUGUGCAUAUUGCAAAUGCAGAUGUGCUCAGUCAUCUUCUGUUACCAGAUAGCAUCGUACAUGCUCCAGUGCCACAAGAAGUUGUGCUUGUACUGAAUUUGUUUGACUCUUCACCUGUCUGUGCAAAACAAAUUAGAAAUUGGACAAACAGGGAUCUAAUUUUGUCAAAAGUCCAAGACCAGGUAUUGCAAGAAUGGUUGAAUUCACCAGUGACUGAAGAGAUAAAACCAUUCCAUGCCCGUAAAACAGAGUUAAGUUGUCAAGGUGGGAUCUUGUUGUGAGGGUCAAGAGUCAUUGUUUCCUUCACAAGGAAGAGAAGCACUCUUGACAGAGCUUCACAUUGUGCAUCCAGGCAUGACAAAGAUGAAAAUGCUUGUGUGAAGCUACGUCUGGUGGCCAGGCAUUGACAGUGACGUUGAAAGCAUGGUCAAACACUGUCCCCAUUGUCAGCAACAACGGAAGUUGCCCAUUUUAGCUCCACUGUAUCCGUGGGAGUGACCUGGUCGACCCUAGGUUAGACUACAUAUAGACUAUGUCAGUCCAUUUCUAGGUACCAUGUUUUUAUUGAUCGUUAAUGCACAUUCUAAGCUGAUGGGUGUGUAUGAAGUUCAAUCACCGACAUCAUGUCCAACUAUUGUAAAGCUGCACUAAUGUUUUAGUGUACACAGUCGACCGGAAGUCAUUGUUUAGGAUAAAGGUACUGUCUUCACUUGUACGGAAUUUCAGAGAUUCAUGGGUUUAAAUGGAAUUAAGCAUAAUAAAACAGCAUGUUUUCGUCCCUCAUCAAAUGGAUUAGCUGAAAGAGCAAUGCAAACUUUCAAAUCAGGAAUGAAGAGGUUAUCCAAAGGUACUUUAGAAACUCGACUUUCACGGUCUCUUAUCAACUAUUGUACGAUUCCUCAUGCGACUAUGGGUUCAACACCAUCUGAAUUACUGAUGAAACCCCGCCUUCAUACAAGCUUAAGUCUGGUGUUUCCAAACUUAGGGGGGAAGGUAGAGAAGAAUCAGAGUAGUCAGAAAUUGAAUCACAAUAUUUAUAGCAAAGCUCAAAGGUUUACUGUGGGAGAUACAGUUUUCGUGUGGAAUUUUGGAAAUUGACCUAGUUGCGUUCCUGGUAUAAUUGUCUCCGAAACUGAAUCGUUGUCAUUCCAAGUGGAAGUGGAAGACCAGAUUGUUCGAAAACACGUGACCAUCUAAAGAGUAGAGAGACAUUCCACAACCAGCUAUUCUGCCUGUGAUUGAUGUCGAACCUUUAAUCCCUGACUUGGCAGAUCAACCUAGAUUAGACAAAACUGUCUGACAUCUCUGUUGAAUUACAUGAUCCUGAACUUCCACUUUCUAAGGAUGUCCCUGAUGCUGCAGUUCCUGAUCAUGUUGAUCCAGUGGGAGAAUCUCAAGUGGUGGAACUACACUGUUCUAACCAAAUUAGAAAACCACCUCAGAGACUUAAUCUUUAAUCACAUGACCUGUGUAUAUGCUGUGGGUUAAGAUAUUGUUUGUAAAAAAAAAAACCAAAGAGGGAGGAAUUGUAGUGAUUGAAGGUAUAACCUUUCCUACUGCCUUUAGGGGUCAUGUGACCGUUCUGACAAAUAAACCCUAAGUGCAGAUAAUCUUAGGGGCAGAAUUUUCUAGUUGUGGACCAGGUUCAAGCAUGUAGCUUUGAAAAGAGCUAUGUACUAAAGUUAUUUGUUUCAUGUAAGGAACCUGUUCAGUACAUUAAUUUCAUUACACAGAUGGAGUUCAAUAUGGGAAAGUGUAAGGGCAUCCAUUUUGGACUGAAGAAAGGUGGUAUUUUCUAAAUAGAAUGAAUUUAGGAGCUGUGAAUGAGCAGAGAGAUGUAGGGGUCCAAAUACAGAAAUCAUGAUAACUAGUAGGCAGGUGCAAAAAAUAGUUUAAAAUGUUAAAGAAAUGUUGGUCUUUACCUCAAGAGGGCUGGAAGUUACAUUCCAGCUGCACAGAGCUCUGGUUAGACCUUAUCUGCAGUCUUGUAUUUCUGGACACCCCACCUCAGAACAGAUAUAUUGGCCUUGGAGAGGUGAGUCACCAGAAUGAGCAGGGCUAAAAGAGUUAAAAUAUGAGGACAGGGUGCAUAGUCUAGGUUUGUAUUCACUUGAGUAAAAGAUUAAAGGGUGAUCUCAUCGAGGGUGUUUAUUAUUGAAGGUUUUGAUAGAGUAAAUAGGCAUAACUUUUAAAAUUAGAGCUAAUAAGCUGUUUGGGAUUUUUUUAGUGUACCUUAACACACACACACUUUUUCCUCCUUUGGGAAAUGGUGGAAGGAUUCUUAAGCUGAUUAUCAGCCCACUGAACUGCAUCAUGAAUGCACUUUCCCUGGCCAACAGGUCCUUGUGUGGAACUUAAACCCAGGUCUCAUGGCCCAGAGGUGGGGUUGCUACCAAUGCAUCGUAAGACCUGCUGCUGUUUGGGAUGAUGCCACGAAACACUUCUUCAUGCAAAAGAUGGUGGAGGUCUGGAAUUUUCUUCCCCCAAAAACGCUGUUGAGGCUUGACCAGGUGAAAAUUUCAAAACUGAGAUGGAGAAAGUUGUUCUAAAAAAGAGUAUUACAGUUUUUGAAACCAAAGUGGAUUAAGAAGUUAAGAUACAGAUCAAAGCAAAAUACUGUGGAUGCUGGAAAUGUAGAACAAAAUGCUGAGUUUUUUCAAGAUACAGAUCAGCCUGCUAUAAUGCAAUGGUGGAACAAACUCGAGGGGCUGAAUGGCCAACCCCUGUUCUUGCAUUCCUAUAUGGACAAAAUAAGGACUGAAGAAAAAACCACAACCAGCAUCAGACAAUGAAAAACAAUGAGGUUGACCAUUUUUUUUGUGCGGCUGCCCAUUUUAUCUCCGGGUAGAAAACAGACUGUAGCACAAUGGCUGCCUGUUCUAGAUCCACACAAUUAGCAUUACAAUGAAUUUAAGCAGUUUGUAAAAUGGCCAGCUGAUCCACCAUCGCCAGUUUUCCCUGACCGUAUGAGUGAAAAUAUACCCCAGCAGUAACUGUGAACCUCAAGUGUAGGCAGUUGUGAGGCAGGCGCAGAGAAAUCUGCCCUGUACAAAAAAAAGCAAAAACAAAGCCUUGGAGAAGAUGUGCUUUGCAGGAAAGCACAAAGGUGAAAGGAGGUCAAAGAGGUGAAUUAAAUCAGUUAGUAGUGAUUAGAUACUUGUGGGCUUGGGUUUUAAAAGCCUGUGGAUUGUAAGGCUGUGCAACGCAUGGAGGUUCACGGUUUGAGAUCCCACAAGCAAAUGUGUUUGUUCAUUAAGUCAGUUGUAUCAACUAUUUCCGCUCAGCAAGGUUGCAGAGAGGAAAAACAGCACAUGGGAUGGCCUGUUUGCAAGAAUAAGACCCAGCUGAGAGGAGCUGGAUGUGGUGAUAUAUAGAUAAAAAUAACAAAGAUACAUAAAAAAAGGAAUGACCCAUCAGAUAACAAAUUGCUUCUUGUCCCCUGCCCAUACAUGUCAACCUAGAAAAUACACAAAAAAGCAUUGAAUUAUGAGGAUGCUGACAGGACAGCACCAGGCAAUGAGGCUCACACGGAUUAUUGUUCAUCAGUAAGCACUGACACUCUGGCACAACACAAGUAACUUGAUUGGGAUCACAGCAACCGUGCAGUUGUCACUGUGAAAUACUGACAUUGAGAUUGUGUGUUGCUGUCAUAUAGCAGCAGACUCAAUGAAUAGUUUGGGUAUAGUCAGACUGCAUGGUCUGAAGCUCACGGUUCUAGGGUAUAAUUACAGAGUGUGAAGAAGAUCUCACUUCUAAUAACCCUUUGGUUGCAUUUUAGUGAAUGAGAGUGGAGAGAGCAAACUGAUAUGUACCUUUACUCACAGAGCGGCUAUAGGCAUGGCAAUUGAGUAUCAGGCAGCUCUCAAAGAGAGCUUGGGCUUACCAAGAUAUGAAAUGGGGCUUGGUUGAGGGGUGGGGGGAUGACUGAGAUCUGGAAACUGCAUUAUCUAAAUAUUUAUAACAAUUAGCAGCCAGCCAGCGUGAAAAGCCCAGCACUGCUGCGGUGGGGGCUGAAGGGCCUCUUCUGCACUGUGUGAUUCUGAUUCUGAAAAUGCCUUGCUGUUCCCAAUCAGUUCCUUCAUUACCACAGCAAACUUCAAAAGUACCUUCAUUGCAGUAUGUCCUGAGAACGUUACAUAAAACGCAAAUUUUUUAUCGCUUUGGUUUUUGUAGUAAUAGCAAUACUAUGAGAACGGAAGUUCACAAUUUUGCAAAUAUUCCCACUGACAGAAUUAAACUUCUAAUGAUCAAAUGGUCAAAUUGAGUAACAUUCUUUCUGUCAUUCUCUUUAUCACUGCGUAAUUCAUCACUGGCUGUAAGUUUCCAGAAACUGUUUUGCUGAUAUUAUAUUAAAGAAAAAUUACUUG